UCUAAGACGCAGAAGAUGGGCCACCCGUGACAACAACCUCUACAAAGAAAAGAGUCCGCAUCUCUUUCCAGCCUCAGGGUGUACCCUGUUCCCGAAACAGAGGAAGAUACCGUGGAAAUUCACUCAAUAAGCUGAUUAAGAAUAACUUUUCCAUUCAUUGUUCUAUACUACCAGAACAGCAUAAAACGUUGAGGCCCUUUUUUCGAUACCGCCUCGGAGUUCACGGAAGUUGUUCGUUUUAUGCUGGAGACGGAGACACGACAUCGACCACAAAGAAUUGAGUAAAGCACCCUCCUGGAACGUGAAAGCGGUAUGUAUUCUGGAGUCGCUCUGUUAGUAAGGAGAAAUCUGGAAGAUGAGAAAGGCGGGACUUUCUUGCAGGCUUACUGUGCAGAGCCACCCUGAUUCCAGCUGCUGCGGGUCUGAGAAUAAGGACAUUGCAUUCCAAAGGGGUUCUCCAGGAAAAGACCUAUGAUCACAUGGUAGCGCCCCAGAAGCAGCAGUACUGCCAUCAGGUGGUGUAGGUGUGUGUUCAGGGAGGUAUGUGUGUCUACAUGUGAAUCCAUGUGAUGUAGCUCUCAGUGCUCAUGUGU